rnacentral:misc_RNA from 1 species
CCGAGUUAUACAACUCAUCAACCCUGUGAACAUACCUAUAACGUUGCCUCGGCGGGAACAGACGGCCCCGUAACACGGGCCGCCCCCGCCAGAGGACCCCCUAACUCUGUUUCUAUAAUGUUUCUUCUGAGUAACAAGCAAAUAAAUUA